GAUGAACGCUGGCGGCGUGCCUAAUACAUGCAAGUCGAGCGAACGGACGAGAAGCUUGCUUCUCUGAUGUUAGCGGCGGACGGGUGAGUAACACGUGGAUAACCUACCUAUAAGACUGGGAUAACUUCGGGAAACCGUAGCUAAUACCGGAUAAUAUUUUGAACCGCAUGGUUCAAAAGUGAAAGACGGUCUUGCUGUCACUUAUAGAUGGAUCCGCGCUGCAUUAGCUAGUUGGUAAGGUAACGGCUUACCAAGGCAACGAUGCAUAGCCGACCUGAGAGGGUGAUCGGCCACACUGGAACUGAGACACGGUCCAGACUCCUACGGGAGGCAGCAGUAGGGAAUCUUCCGCAAUGGGCGAAAGCCUGACGGAGCAACGCCGCGUGAGUGAUGAAGGUCUUCGGAUCGUAAAACUCUGUUAUUAGGGAAGAACAUAUGUGUAAGUAACUGUGCACAUCUUGACGGUACCUAAUCAGAAAGCCACGGCUAACUACGUGCCAGCAGCCGCGGUAAUACGUAGGUGGCAAGCGUUAUCCGGAAUUAUUGGGCGUAAAGCGCGCGUAGGCGGUUUUUUAAGUCUGAUGUGAAAGCCCACGGCUCAACCGUGGAGGGUCAUUGGAAACUGGAAAACUUGAGUGCAGAAGAGGAAAGUGGAAUUCCAUGUGUAGCGGUGAAAUGCGCAGAGAUAUGGAGGAACACCAGUGGCGAAGGCGGCUUUCUGGUCUGUAACUGACGCUGAUGUGCGAAAGCGUGGGGAUCAAACAGGAUUAGAUACCCUGGUAGUCCACGCCGUAAACGAUGAGUGCUAAGUGUUAGGGGGUUUCCGCCCCUUAGUGCUGCAGCUAACGCAUUAAGCACUCCGCCUGGGGGGUACGACCGCAAGGUUGAAACUCAAAGGAAUUGACGGGGACCCGCACAAGCGGUGGAGCAUGUGGUUUAAUUCGAAGCAACGCGAAGAACCUUACCAAAUCUUGACAUCCUUUGACAACUCUAGAGAUAGAGCCUUCCCCUUCGGGGGACAAAGUGACAGGUGGUGCAUGGUUGUCGUCAGCUCGUGUCGUGAGAUGUUGGGUUAAGUCCCGCAACGAGCGCAACCCUUAAGCUUAGUUGCCAUCAUUAAGUUGGGCACUCUAAGUUGACUGCCGGUGACAAACCGGAGGAAGGUGGGGAUGACGUCAAAUCAUCAUGCCCCUUAUGAUUUGGGCUACACACGUGCUACAAUGGACAAUACAAAGGGCAGCGAAACCGCGAGGUCAAGCAAAUCCCAUAAAGUUGUUCUCAGUUCGGAUUGUAGUCUGCAACUCGACUACAUGAAGCUGGAAUCGCUAGUAAUCGUAGAUCAGCAUGCUACGGUGAAUACGUUCCCGGGUCU
rnacentral:rRNA from 1 species